rnacentral:lncRNA from 10 species
UUGGGUAAUAAAAUGUAUAUUGAGAAUAAGAUGGCCUUUUGACCUUUUAGGGUCUAGGGCUAUAAAGCGUCUCAGGGUUGCUGUCAAACGAGCCAUGAACUGGGCUGGAUUUUUAUACUUGAUGAAAAAGAGCCUAAACGCUAUCUGAUUUGGGAUAAAGAAAAAGGAGCAUUAACCUUGACUAUGCCUUUAGCUCCAGCCACCUUUUUAAGAGUAAAUUGCUAGGCAGGUGGGGAAGGGCUAG